AAACUGGCCAGAUCUGGCCCCUCUUAGCUACCCUAUAAUAUCAUUCUAGAAAUAUACAAUCACAUCAUUCUGUAAUUUCCUCACUCACUCGAUGGAUAAGGGAUCAGGCCUUCGCUGAGUGGUGAUUCAUUAUCUGGUGUGAAGCAUGUGGUGCAUCUCAAGCACCUUUGCGGGCACCGAUGCACAACCCUUAGUUGAGAACAGUGUUGGUCAGAGAGUUUGACUGGGGUGGUAUGUCUGUCAAACAGUAACACAAGUGUCCUGAGCUCAGUUUGGACAGAACCUACAUGUUGAGUAAAAGGGCAAAAGCUCGCUUGAAAGCUUUGGCCAACACUCUCUAUUGUCCACUCUAGUGAGUGGUUGGUGUUAGGAAGGGCAUCUAGCUAUAAAAAUCCUGCCAAAACAAUGAAAGAAG
rnacentral:ncRNA from 1 species